CCCUUAGAUGUCCUGGGCCGCACGCGUGCUACACUGAUGCAUACAGCGAGUACUCCCAGCUCCGAGAGGCUGCUGGUAAUCAGCUAUAUGCAUCGUGAUGGGGAUAGAUCUUUGGAAUUAUAGAUCUUGAACGAGGAAUUCCUAGUAAUCGCAGGUCAUCACCCUGCGUUGACUAAGUCCCUGCCCUUUGUACACACCGCCCGUCGCUCCUACCGAUUUCGAGUGAUCCGGUGAAUCAUUCGGACCGCGGCCCCUAGGCAUGCGGAAAGUCUAGUAAACCAUAUCACUUAGAGGAAGGAGAAGUCGUAACA
rnacentral:rRNA from 1 species